UACGUAGGGUGCGAGCGUUAAUCGGAAUUACUGGGCGUAAAGCGUGCGUAGACGGUUAUGUAAGUCAGAUGUGAAAGCCCCGGGCUCAACCUGGGAAUUGCAUUUGAGACUGCAUAGCUAGGGUGCGGAAGAGGGAAGCGGAAUUCCCGGUGUAGUGGUGAAAUGCGUAGAUAUCGGGAGGAACACCAGUGGCGAAGGCGACUAUCUGGCCUGUUUCUUGACGCUGAGGCGCGAAAGCUAGGGGAGCAAACGGG
rnacentral:rRNA from 1 species